AAACCAUGAUAUGGACAGCUUCUUAGUAAAUCCUUGAAAUGUUUCCAACAAUCGUACAGAGUCUCAUUCUCUUGUUGAAGAAACCCUGCUAUAUCAUUUCUCAACUU
rnacentral:snoRNA from 1 species